rnacentral:rRNA from 1 species
GAUGAACGCUGGCGGCGUGCCUAAUACAUGCAAGUCGAGCGAACGGACGAGGAGCUUGCGGCUCUGAUGUUAGCGGCGGACGGGUGAGUAACACGUGGAUAACCUACCUAUAAGACUGGGAUAACUUCGGGAAACGGGAGCUAAUACCGGAUGAUAUUUUGAACCGCAUGGGGCAAAAGUGAAAGACGGUCUUGCGGUCACGAAUAGAUGGAUCCGCGCUGCAUUAGGUAGUUGGGAAGGUAAAGGCUUACCAAGGCAACGAUGCAUAGCCGAGCGCAGAGGGUGAUCGGCCACCCUGGAGCUGAGACGCCGUCCAGGCUCCUGCGGGAGGCAGCAGUAGGGUAUCUUCCGCAAUGGGCGAGAGCCUGACGGAGCAGCGCCGCGUGAGUUAUGAAGGUCCUCGGAUCGUAAAGCUCUGUUAUUAGUGGAGAACAUAUGUGUAAGUAACCGUGCACAUCUUGACGGUACCUAAUCAGAAAGCCCCGGCUAACUACGUG